GUAGGUGGCAAGCGUUGUCCGGAAUUAUUGGGGCGUAAAGCGCGCGCAGGCGGUUCUUUAAGUCUGAUGUGAAAGCCCACGGGCUCAACCGUGGAGGGUCAUUGGAAACUAGAGAACUUGAGUACAGAAGAGGAAAGCGGAAUUCCACGUGUAGCGGUGAAAUGCGUAGAGAUGUGGAGGAACACCAGUGGCGAAGGCGGCUUUCUGGUCUGUAACUGACGCUGAGGCGCGAAAGCGUGGGGAGCAAACAGGAUUAGAUACCCUGGUAGUCCACGCCGUAAACGAUGAGUGCUAAGUGUUAGGGGGUUUCCGCCCCUUAGUGCUGCAGCUAACGCAUUAAGCACUCCGCCUGGGGAGUACGGCCGCAAAGGCUGA
rnacentral:rRNA from 1 species